rnacentral:rRNA from 1 species
UACGUAGGGCGCAAGCGUUAUCCGGAAUUAUUGGGCGUAAAGAGCUCGUAGGCGGUUUGUCGCGUCUGCCGUGAAAGUCCGGAGCUCAACUCCGGAUCUGCGGUGGGUACGGGCAGACUAGAGUGAUGUAGGGGAGACUGGAAUUCCUGGUGUAGCGGUGAAAUGCGCAGAUAUCAGGAGGAACACCGAUGGCGAAGGCAGGUCUCUGGGCAUUAACUGACGCUGAGGAGCGAAAGCAUGAGGAGCGAACAGG